GUGAUGUUCACGGAGCCCCCCACCGGCACGACCGUGUGGAGGGGAGACUGCUGCACCUCUGCACGAGGGGGAGCCACCAUCACCACCUCGCUACACAGAGGGGUGGGGGACGCCCUCCCUGCGGACAGGGGCAGAGAUACUCGGCCCAGGCAACCAUGGGCGCCUUGGAGCUGCUCUGCUGCCAGUGCCCAGGGCCCCAGAAACAGCUCCAGGCCAAGCGGCACAAAUCUUGUGUAGACACAAAUCUUUGCAGGGCUCACCGGCUAAUUAUAGAAAGGACUCAGAUAAGAGGUAAGAAAGAGAAAAACACCCCAGUGACCAGUUGCCAAGCCCGCCCACAGGCUGGGGCUGCUCCCACCCAGUGGAAAGUCCUGCCCAGCCCUCCACCCUCCCCGCGGGGCCUGUGGAAGGGAAGCACUUACCGUGGGGCUCCUGGGCCUUGAGCAGGGUUCCAGCCAGCGAGAGCAGCAGGGCCAGGAGUGCGAGCCUGGCCAUGCUGCGAGACCCAGCCUCAGCCCAGUGCCAGGCCCCUCCCUGGCCAGAGAUGCUCUGUCUGCAAACCACAGGUGAGCCCAGGACACCCCAAGAGCCCCAGUGGCUCAGGGGAUGGAGCAGGAUACACCUUCGGCUCAAAUGCGGUGGGCUGUGGUGGGGCCUCCUGGAGGGCUUCCUGGAGGAGGUGCCUGGGAGGGAGGAGUUGCUCCAGGCGGUGGGAGGAGCCGCUCUGCUGUUUACAACCUUCUUCUCCCCUACUGGUCUAGGUCUCUGAUCCCAGCCGCUCUGCUCUGCGGGGUUACUGCGGGGAGGAAGGGGAGGGGAGAGGAGGGACGGCCUCCCACUGGCCUGGGGUGGGAGGGCCCUGGUCCCUGGGUCACCGCCUGCUGGGACCUGAUUUCCCUGACACCUGGAGUGCCGAGUCAGCUGGGCAGACUGAGGAGCCGACCAGGCAGUACCCAGGUUGACCUGCAUCCUGCCAUGGGAAAGGCAGGCUCCCGUGCUCGGUUCCUUUGUCCAGACCCUUGCCUGACCUCAGGACAUCCAGGAGGUGCGGGUCUCUGUCCUGACCUCCAUCCUUCGGGGAAGCUUCAAAUGCCCAGAGCCAUAUGCCCAGGCAUGUGCUUGGGACUGUGAGCAGGCAGCAGAGGGCACAGUCACAGGGGACCUAUGGCCGGGCUGCUUUCUCUGAGUAGCUGGGUCCUCAUGGGUUUGGAGUCCUAGGACAUGGGGGCCUGUGGGGUGGGUGCAGGGAAAGGUUUGUGGGUCCCAGGACUGGUUCUGCCAGCCAGAGGGCCUUUCUGUUUGGGGCAGAAUCUUGCCAAAGUCCUGAGGAGGAGUUGGCGGAGGCCAGGCUUUGUGGGUCUGAAGUGAUGUUCUCUAAAGACCUCACACAUGUACGCUCCACUUGGGGGUGCUUCGGGGGUCUUCAUGCGCGGAGCCUGGUCCCAGAGCAGAAGGCAAGACCGACCGGGGCCCUGAGCCCUGGGGCCGACAUCGUUGAGCUUCGGGGACUCUCGGGCCCUUGUGUCUGGAGCCCACGGAACCCAAGCAUCGACUCGUCUUGCUUGGGGUGUCCACAGCAGGCGAGGAAUUCCAGCGGUCUCCGUCUCGGGAGCCAGCAUUUCAGCACUCUCGCACACAGGACAAGCUUCUUGUAGGCUUUCGAUUUGCACUGAAACAAUUGGGUUUUCCAGCUUAUGUAAUGGUUUGUUGAUUGGUUUAUUAAAUCUGGUUAAAGAUUA